UACGUAGGGUGCGAGCGUUGUCCGGAAUUAUUGGGCGUAAAGGGCUCGUAGGCGGUUUGUCGCGUCGGGAGUGAAAAUCCAGGGCUUAACUCUGGACUGGCUUCCGAUACGGGCAGACUAGAGGUAUGCAGGGGAGAACGGAAUUCCUGGUGUAGCGGUGAAAUGCGCAGAUAUCAGGAGGAACACCGGUGGCGAAGGCGGUUCUCUGGGCAUUACCUGACGCUGAGGCGCGAAAGCGUGGGUAGCAAACAGG
rnacentral:rRNA from 1 species